UGGGGAAUUUUGGACAAUGGGCGAAAGCCUGAUCCAGCAAUGCCGCGUGUGUGAAGAAGGCCUUCGGGUUGUAAAGCACUUUUGUCCGGAAAGAAAUCCUUGGCUCUAAUACAGUCGGGGGAUGACGGUACCGGAAGAAUAAGCACCGGCUAACUACGUGCCAGCAGCCGCGGUAAUACGUAGGGUGCAAGCGUUAAUCGGAAUUACUGGGCGUAAAGCGUGCGCAGGCGGUUUGCUAAGACCGAUGUGAAAUCCCCGGGCUCAACCUGGGAACUGCAUUGGUGACUGGCAGGCUAGAGGUAUGGCAGAGGGGGGUAGAAUUCCACGUGUAGCAGUGAAAUGCGUAGAGAUGUGGAGGAAUACCGAUGGCGAAGGCAGCCCCCUGGGCCAAUACUGACGCUCAUGCACGAAAGCGUGGGGAGCAAACAGGAUUAGAUACCCUGGUAGUCCACGCCCUAAAGCGAUGUCAACUAGUUGUUGGGGAUUCAUUUCCUUAGUAACGUAGCUAACGCGUGAAGUUGACCGCCUGGGGAGUACGGUCGCAAGAUUAAAACUCAAAGGAAUUGACGGGGUCAUA
rnacentral:rRNA from 1 species